UGUUGUGUAAGGGUUAUUAAUUAGUUUAAUAGAUGUUAUCAAAGCUCACCGAUAGACUUGACAGAGACCAGACAAUGGUUAGGACAAUGUCAGUUAGGUGUUUGUAUUGUAGAGAGACUGAUAUGUGGGUCGGGACAGACAUUAGUAAUGUUAGUUUAGGUGUAGGCUAGAUACUCAGCCUAUAUAGAGUAGAGUUUGGGGCAGUCGGGACACAGCGCCAUGUAGUGUUAGCAGGGGCGUGUGUCGUGUAGUGUUAGCAGGGGCGUGUGUCGUGUAGUGUUAGCAGGGGCGUGUGUCGUGUAGUGUUAGCAGGGGCGUGUGUCGUGUGAUAGGCGUUUUCUGGUGAACGACACAUACAGACAUUGGGAGCAAGUCGCCGAGGCUGGCUCGCGAUCUUGGCUCCAAGAUGUGUGAGUUGUUUGCCAGAGACAACAUGUAGGAACUAAUUCUUAGGGACCAGGAGUGACAGUCUUGGCGACUGUCUGAGUCUUAGUCACAUUCUGACGGUCAGAGACGGUAGAUCUAUAUAUGGUGUAUCUUUGCCUGCUACGCAAGGGGAUAUCACUCUAGUAUUGAGCGGACUGUGACGUUGGGUUCCAGGAUCCGUGCAGAGACUAGAGAGAGAGAGAGAGAGAGAGAGAGACAAGAGAAAUGAGUCAAGAGAAAUGGAAAGUUCAUCGUGACCUACAGCCAAGCAUCAAUGUCUAUGUGAUUAUUAAAUUUUAAUUCUAGAAUCACAUGUUAUAUGUAACUAUAGUUGUUAAUUAAAUAUUUAUUUUUCAUAUGCAAA